rnacentral:rRNA from 1 species
AUGCAUGUCUAAGUAUAAGCACUUGUACUGUGAAACUGCGAAUGGCUCAYUAAAUCAGUUAUCGUUUAUUUGAUUGUACUUUACUACAUGGAUACCUGUGGUAAUUCUAGAGCUAAUACAUGCGAAAAAUCCCGACUUCUGGAAGGGAUGUAUUUAUUAGAUUAAAAACCAAUGCGGGUCCUCGUGGCUCGUUUUCUUGGUGAUUCAUGAUAACUUUUCGAAUCGUAUGGCCUAGCGCCGACGAUGUUUCAUUCAAAUUUCUGCCCUAUCAACUGUCGAUGGUAAGGUAGUGGCUUACCAUGGUUGUAACGGGUGACGGAGAAUUAGGGUUCGAUUCCGGAGAGGGGAGCCWGASAAACGGCUACCACA